UACAGAGGGUGCGAGCGUUAAUCGGAAUUACUGGGCGUAAAGCGCGCGUAGGCGGCUUUGCAAGCCGGAUGUGAAAUCCCCGGGCUUAACCUGGGAACUGCAUUCGGGACUGCAUUGCUAGAGUAUGGGAGAGGGAAGUGGAAUUUCAGGUGUAGCGGUGAAAUGCGUAGAUAUCUGAAGGAACAUCAGUGGCGAAAGCGACUUCCUGGACCAACACUGACGCUCAUGUGCGAAAGCGUGGGGAGCAAACAGG
rnacentral:rRNA from 1 species